UAUUGAUGAGCUGCUUCAGUGCUCUGAGAGUGUUUAUAGUGCUGUGACUUUAACACUUCAUCACCGACACACACAACAAUCUUCAUCAACAUGACCUUCAUCAUCAUCUUCAUCUGGACUCUCACAGCGUUUGCUCAAGAGUGUAGAGGACAGAUCAGCGUCACUCAGAGUCCCUCAACAACAGCAGAGAGAGCAGGAGAAACAGUCAGAAUCAGCUGCAAAACCAGUACAGAUGUGUACAGAUACAGUGAUGGGGAUGAUGCUUUCUUCUGGUAUUCACAGAAACCUGGAGAAGCUCCUAAACUCCUGAUUUUUUACGCUAACCAACUCAAGUCAGGAACUCCAUCUAGAUUCAGUGGCAGUGGAUCUAAAAGUGAUUUCUCUCUGACCAUCAGUGGAGUCCAGACUGAAGAUGCUGGACAUUAUUACUGUCAGAGUUUUCACUGCAGAACAGAUUCAGAUGGUGAUUGUGAGAGUGAUUAUGUGUUCACACAGUGAUAAAGAGUCGUACAAAAACCUCCUUCAUUCAGAGUCUCAGAGACUGAACUGAAACUAUCUC